AAAGAAAAUAACAAUGAUUCCCCUAGUAACGGCGAGCGAAGAGGGAAUAGCUCAAAUUUUAAAUCUGUUGGGUCUUACCUAACCGAGUUGUAAUUUGAAGAAGCGUUUUCUGCGUGUUUGAUUUAGCCCAAAUCCUUUGGGAUAAGGUAUCAUGGAGGGUGAGAAUCCCGUCCGGCCUAAUCAAAUGUGCUUUUACGAUACGUUUUCUAAGAGUCGAGUUGUUUGGGAUUGCAGCUCAAAAUGGGAGGUAAAUUUCUCCUAAGGCUAAAUAUUGGCGAGAGACCGAUAGCGAACAAGUACCGUGAGGGAAAGAUGAAAAGAACUUUGAAAAGAGAGUUAAACAGUACGUGAAAUUGUUGAAAGGGAAACGAUUAAAGUCAGUCGUACUAACGGGGAAUCAACCUUUUGAGGGUGGAAUUGUGGGAUUCAGAGUGCCUUUGUCUUUCACAACCUGCUUUUUUUGGGUGCACUUUCUCGUAUUGUAGGUCAGCAUCGGUUUCGACCGUUAUAAAAUGACUGGAGGAAUGUAGCUUCGAUCUCGUAUUGAAGUGUUAUAGCCUUUGGUAGAUGUAACGGAUGGGAUCGAGGAUUGCAAUGAAUACCCUCAUGGGCUAUCCGCCUGGCCUCUGACAUGUAACUCUGGUGCCGAAAGCUUGCUUAUGGUAUUAUAGUGUACGGUCAAAAGGUUAGAACGGAUUAAAUU
rnacentral:rRNA from 1 species